GAUUAUGGCUCAGGAUGAACGCUAGCGACAGGCUUAACACAUGCAAGUCGAGGGGCAGCAUAAAAGUAGCAAUACUUUGGUGGCGACCGGCGCACGGGUGAGUAACGCGUAUGCAACCUACCUAUCAGAGGGGAAUAACCCGGCGAAAGCCGGACUAAUACCGCAUAAAACAGGGGCACCGCAUGGUGAUAUUUGUUAAAGAAAUUCGCUGAUAGGUGGGCAUGCGUUCCAUUAGGUAGUUGGUGAGGUAACGGCUCACCAAGCCGACGAUGGAUAGGGGAACUGAGAGGUUGGUCCCCCACACUGGUACUGAGACACGGACCAGACUCCUACGGGAGGCAGCAGUGAGGAAUAUUGGUCAAUGGGCGGGAGCCUGAACCAGCCAAGUCGCGUGAAGGAAGAAGGAUCUAUGGUUCGUAAACUUCUUUUGCAGGGGAAUAAAGUGCAGGACGUGUCCUGUUUUGUAUGUACCCUGAGAAUAAGGAUCGGCUAACUCCGUGCCAGCCGCGGC
rnacentral:rRNA from 1 species